AUCAAAGAAAAACAAAGAGAUUGUGCAUCACACUAAAUCUUCCAAAAUGUGAUUAUUAUGUUAAACACUUAUUCAAAUAAACAUCUCUAUAACAAUUCACCUUAUUAAAUUAUCACUUAUUAUAAAAUCUAUAGGUAUUCAAUUCAUGCUAGUCUAUUAUAACUGAAUAUCUGAAACUUAGAAAAACAUUGUAUUGUAAAAGAUAAUUUUAAUAAAUUAGCAAUUUAAAAACAAGAAAGUAGUUAAUAAAUUUACGAAGGAUCAUAAUUAUAUUAGAUUUCAUAGAUUAGAAAAUUAUGAUAAAUUGGUUGCCUUAGAAGGAGAAAAAUUUGAUAGAUUUAAGGAGAAGGAUCAUUUUAGACAUUCCCAUUGGCCCGAUAGGGAAGGUAGGUAUGUAGGUUUCGUAUUGAUCUCCACGUUGCGGCGACCUUUAAUAUCCCCUCUCUUCUAACUUCUAGCCUGUUGGAUGAAAUGAGAGGAAUAGAGCAACGAGGGAAGUCGAGGGGAGUCCUGAACGCGACCUACAACAAGCACCGACAGGCGCACAGCUGAUUUCGUAACGACCAAGCGACACUCCCGGAGUUUCACCGUUCUCCGGAAACGCGUAUUGUGUCACGGUCAACAAACACGACGUCAUAAUCGGCUGAAGAAGCUCAGUGAUUUUUCAGAUCAUUGAACUUGUUCGUUUUUAUACGAAUAAUAGAAAAACGACUUAACUAUGUUUUAUCAGAGCUAUGAUUCAUAAAAUUGAGAGCAUACCUUGUCUUCUGUAAGAGAAUGUUGCAUUGUUUUAUUAAACUGGAAUAGUUUGGCUUGGAACAAUUUUUUUUUCUUUCAAAAUAUAAUAUAAUAAUAAUAUAAUAAUUAAUAAUAAUAAAUAUAAUUUUCAAAGUAUAAUG